rnacentral:rRNA from 1 species
AUGCACGCUGGCGGCGUGCUUAACACAUGCCAGUCGCACGAUGAACCUCACUUGUGGGGGGAUUAGUGGCGAACGGGUGAGUAACACGUGAGUAACCUGCCCUUGACUCUGGGAUAAGCCUGGGAAACCGGGUCUAAUACUGGAUACGACCUUCUGGCGCAUGCCAUGUUGGUGGAAAGCUUUUGUGGUUUUGGAUGGACUCGCGGCCUAUCAGCUUGUUGGUGGGGUAAUGGCCUACCAAGGCGACGACGGGUAGCCGGCCUGAGAGGGUGACCGGCCACACUGGGACUGAGACACGGCCCAGACUCCUACGGGAGGCAGCAGUGGGGAAAAUUGCACAAUGGGCGCAAGCCUGAUGCAGCGACGCCGCGUGAGGGAUGAAGGCCUGCGGGGUGUAAACCUCUUUCAGUAGGGAAGAAGCCGGCUUUUGGGUUGGUGACGGUACCUGCAGAAGAAGCGCCGGCUAACUACGUG